CACUGACACUCACCACCCUGGCCCCAAGGCACGGGCAGGAGUGUUCUGUCAGCCAGGAAGUAUGCAAACUUAGGUAGCUACCCUGAGGACAACACGCAGUUUCUGUCAAAGAAAAUAAGGAUGAUGUCACACCAGCCGGAAUUGGGACUAUCCAUUCCAACUCUUUUCGCGAGGCCAACCACAGUUUCUCUCAGCCUUGGAGAAGAGAGCACGAGCACCCCCUCCUUCUGUCUCCCAAAUGCAAGGGUCUCUGAGGAAGGUUCUGUUUCAGGAUCAUCUUUACGAAAGCUUAAAUAUCAUGAUGUCUGCUUUUACCUGGUUACCUAGCAAUGGCAAUUCUACUCAUUCUCUUCACAGAAGGAACAAUGUUUCAGCUUCCUUAGCUAAGUGUGUUAUUAAAGAAACAUGAUCUCCCCUUCACCACUUAUGCUGGUGAGAAAUAAAGGAUACAUUUUGUAAGGGAAA